rnacentral:lncRNA from 1 species
AUGGCCCUGGGCACCACGGGCCGUGUCCUCCUGCAGCCACUGCAUCCCAUCCCCGGGCACUGCAUCCCACCCCCGGGCACUGCAUCCCAUCCCCAGUCACUGCAUCCUGUCCCUGGGCACUGCAUCCCAUCCCCGGGCACUGCAUCCCAUCCCCGGGCACUGCAUCCCAUCCCCGGGCACUGCAUCCCAUCCCCGGGCACUGCAUCCCAUCCCCGGGCACUGCAUCCCAUCCCCGGGCACUGCAUCCCAUCCCCGGGCACUGCAUCCCAUCCCCGGGCACUGCAUCCCAUCCCCGGGCACUGCAUCCCAUCCCCGGGCACUGCAUCCCAUCCCCGGGCACUGCAUCCCAUCCCCGGGCACUGCAUCCCAUCCCCGGGCACUGCAUCCCAUCCCCGGGCACUGCAUCCCAUCCCCGGGCACUGCAUCCCAUCCCCGGGCACUGCAUCCCAUCCCCGGGCACUGCAUCCCAUCCCCGGGCACUGCAUCCCAUCCCCGGGCACUGCAUCCCAUCCCCGGGCACUGCAUCCCAUCCCCGGGCACUGCAUCCCAUCCCCGGGCACUGCAUCCCAUCCCCGGGCACUGCAUCCCAUCCCCGGGCACUGCAUCCCAUCCCCGGGCACUGCAUCCCAUCCCCGGGCACUGCAUCCCAUCCCCGGGCACUGCAUCCCAUCCCCGGGCACUGCAUCCCAUCCCCGGGCACUGCAUCCCAUCCCCGGGCACUGCAUCCCAUCCCCGGGCACUGCAUCCCAUCCCCGGGCACUGCAUCCCAUCCCCGGGCACUGCAUCCCAUCCCCGGGCACUGCAUUCCAUCCCUGGGCACUGCAUCCCAUCCCCGGGCACUGCAUCCCAUCCCCGGGCACUGCAUCCCAUCCCCGGGCACUGCAUUCCAUCCCUGGGCACUGCAUCCCAUCCCCGGGCACUGCACGCCGAUGCCCCCUGGUUUUGCCUUUUUCUUUCUUUUCCUUGUUAUCUGUAUUUGUCAUCCAUAUAUUUGUAACUCUCUAG